rnacentral:lncRNA from 1 species
CCUGAUCUCAGUAUAUGGAGUUCCAGGGCUGAAGAAAGGAGCAGGAGAUUGACUCUGUCUAAACUUGCUGCUUGCUUCUGCAACAGACACAGUAGAUGGAAGUUUGCCAGGACCCAGCCUCUAGGAUCGCUGCAUAUCAGUGGAGAACCAUCAGUUGUUCCUAGGAUGAGGAAAGACCUGAUGGAGGCAGAUGGAAAUCAGUACUUUCUGAGAAAGAACAGCAGUGGAAAAGGAUUGCCCAUUUCAUUUAUGCAGAAGGUGGAGCCACAGGAGGGAGAUCUGGAACAUUCCCAGCCUCUUGGAUGCAACAACUCAGUCUGCUGCUGGGGGCUGCUCUGCACUCCCGGAUGCUUGAACGUGGUUCUAGGAUUCGUUAGGAUUGCGGCUUCAUUGCAGAAGAUCACCCCCAGAGCAAGGUGGACCUGUUCUGAUAUGGGACUCAUAAGAAGUGGGAUACUGUAAAGAUCACACGUCAUUAUGGUGAACUCUA